ACAGAGGGGGCGAGCGUUGUUCGGAAUUACUGGGCGUAAAGGGCGCGUAGGUGGCCUGUUAAGUCGAACGUGAAAUCCCCGGGCUCAACCCGGGAACUGCGUCCGAGACUGGCAGGCUUGAAUCCGGGAGAGGGAUGUGGAAUUCCAGGUGUAGCGGUGAAAUGCGUAGAUAUCUGGAGGAACACCGGUGGCGAAGGCGGCUCACUGGACUGGUACUGACGCUGAGGCGCGAAAGCGUGGGGAGCAAACGGGA
rnacentral:rRNA from 1 species